CUUAAACAAACUCCAGAGAAUCGCUGUGGUAGAACUAGAUUGACUCUCUUGGUCUCCCCUUAUCUCAGACGCCAAAUAACCCCAAAAUCUAGGGUUUUGUUCCCAUCCACUAUCAUUAGCCAGGAACGGAGAAAUUAAUCAUCUGAAGGAAUUAGAAGAUAUGCAGUCAAAACCUGUAAGUGCAAAUCAACUGGAACCAGAUCCACGUGUCAUCCAACCAUAUGCAGUUCACUCUGAACCAUGGUGGCGUAGUGUCAGUUGUAAUACCGUGCCUCCAGCUGUGCUGGGGGAAAAUGCAACCAAUUUGUCCUCAUCUAAUGGCCCAAAUGGUUCACUGUCAAAUGAUGAUCAGUCACUGUCAAAU
rnacentral:misc_RNA from 1 species